rnacentral:rRNA from 1 species
AGUGAAGCGGCAACAGCUCAAAUUUGAAAUCUGGCCCCAGGCCCGAGUUGUAAUUUGCAGAGGAUGCUUUUGGCGCGGUGCCUUCCGAGUUCCCUGGAACGGGACGCCAUAGAGGGUGAGAGCCCCGUCUGGUUGGAUACCAAGCCUUUGUAAAGCUCCUUCGACGAGUCGAGUAGUUUGGGAAUGCUGCUCUAAAUGGGAGGUAUAUGUCUUCUAAAGCUAAAUACCGGCCAGAGACCGAUAGCGCACAAGUAGAGUGAUCGAAAGAUGAAAAGCACUUUGGAAAGAGAGUUAAACAGCACGUGAAAUUGUUAAAAGGGAAGCGUUUAUGACCAGACUUGGGCCGGUUAAUCAUCCAGCGUUCUCGCUGGUGCACUUUGCCGGUCCAGGCCAGCAUCAGUUCGCUGCGGGGGAUAAAGGCGUCGGGAAUGUGGCUCCUCUGGAGUGUUAUAGCCCUUCGCGCAAUACCCUGCGGUGGACUGAGGUUCGCGCAUCUGCAAGGAUGCUGGCGUAAUGGUCAUCAACGACCCGUCUUGAAACACGGACCAAGGAGUCGUCUUCGUAUGCGAGUGUUCGGGUGUAAAACCCCUACGCGUAAUGAAAGUGAACGCAGGUGAGAGCUUCGGCGCAUCAUCGACCGAUCCUGAUGUUCUCGGAUGGAUUUGAGUAAGAGCAUACGGGGCCGGACCCGAAAGAAGGUGAACUAUGCCUGUAUAGGGUGAAGCCAGAGGAAACUCUGGUGGAGGCUCGCAGCGGUUCUGACGUGCAAAUCGAUCGUCAAAUAUGGGCAUGGGGGCGAAAGACUAAUCGAACCUUCUAGUAGCUGGUUUCCGCCGAAGUUUCCCUCAGGAUAGCAGUGUUGAACUCAGUUUUAUGAGGUAAAGCGAAUGAUUAGGGACCAGGGGGCGCUAUUUAGCCUUCAUCCAUUCUCAAACUUUAAUAUGU